UCCCUUGUAGCUUAGUCAGUAAAGAAUCUACCUGCAGUGUAGGAGACCAGGGUUCAAACCCUGGGUUGGGAA
rnacentral:tRNA from 1 species